UCUAAUAUGGCAGAUUAGUGCCAUGGAUUUAAACCCCAUAUAUAAAGGUCAACUUUUUUUAGAA
rnacentral:tRNA from 1 species